UCGAAAACGGUGAAAAUUGCGACUUUGC
rnacentral:sRNA from 1 species